rnacentral:tmRNA from 1 species
GGGGGUGUACUGGUUUUCGACGCGAUGUAGAAGACAUGGACAGCAUGCCGAGGAUGUCGGUUGGCCUCGUAAAUCAUCCGGCAAACAGUAAUUGGCGAAGACUACUCUUACGCCAUGGCCGCUUAAUUAAAGUGGCCGGUUCCGCGGUUGGUUGGCGUUCGCCGCCCGCGGGACACAAUUAGGACGCUGGGCGACGGGGGCGCACAGACCCGUUGUCGAGAUUAAUUUGUGCUAUGCCCGAGUGUAAGCC